CUUUUCCUUAGCUGAAUUCGAUACAUGCAAAAAGUUACCUACUGGAUUUGACAGUUCAAUAUUAAGAGAACUUGGAAAUCAAUCAACUAGUGUGCUGCAUUCUUAUCAUGAUUCAAAUGCUGGCAGAUGUCAAAGCAGCCCAUCUCAUUGCGCAUGGCGAAAUGCUGAGCAAGGACU